GGGUGCGUAGCUCAGUUGGUAGAGCAGCUGACUCUUAAUCAGCGGGUCACAGGUUCAAUCCCUGUCGCACCCACCA
rnacentral:tRNA from 4 species